UACGGAGGGUGCAAGCGUUAUCCGGAUUCACUGGGUUUAAAGGGAGCGUAGGUGGGCUGGUAAGUCAGUGGUGAAAUCUCCGGGCUUAACUCGGAAACUGCCGUUGAUACUAUCAGUCUUGAAUAUUGUGGAGGUAAGCGGAAUAUGUCAUGUAGCGGUGAAAUGCUUAGAUAUGACAUAGAACACCGAUAGCGAAGGCAGCUUGCUACACAAAUAUUGACGCUGAGGCACGAAAGCGUGGGGAUCAAACAGG
rnacentral:rRNA from 1 species